GACGAACGCUGGCGGCGUGCUUAACACAUGCAAGUCGAACGGAAAGGCCCUGCUUGCAGGGUACUCGAGUGGCGAACGGGUGAGUAACACGUGGGUGAUCUGCCCUGCACUUCGGGAUAAGCCUGGGUAACUGGGUCUAAUACCGGAUAGGAGCCAUUUUGAGUGUGAUGGUUGGAAAGUUUUUUCGGUGUAGGAUGAGCUUGCGGCCUAUCAGCUUGGUGGUGGGGUAAUGGCCUACCAAGGCGGCGACGGGUAGCCGGCCCGAGAGGGUGGACGGCAACAGUGGGACUGGGACUCGGCCCCGACCCCGACGCGUGGCAGAGGCGGGGGAUAUUGCACAAUGGGCGCAAGCCUGAUGCAGAGACGGCGCGUGGGGGAUGACGGUCUAGGGGUUGUAGUUGCAUUUCGCUAGGGACGAGGAUUUUUGUGACGGUACCUAGAUAAGAAGCACCGGCUAACUACGUG
rnacentral:rRNA from 1 species